rnacentral:lncRNA from 1 species
CGUAUCCAGAAUAUUGAGCACAACCCAUCCUUUAAUCUGUAGCAUCCAAUGCCUAAUGGACAUGGUUGCAUCUUCUCGGUGCAACUGAGCCACUGUAACCAGCCGAGAGUAAUCAACCCCGGGAAGAGCCCGCACAUCCACAAUGGUGGAAGACCUUACACUUAAUAUUUUCUUAGGAAGAUUUAAUUUAGGUCUCAUUAAACUUGACUUGACAUAGUCAUAACAAUU